CCUAAAUAUGAAUCACAGCAGCUCCUGCGCCGCAGUGCCGCACUCCAUUCUCCAAACUCACGAACUCAAUCAGUGCAUCACGUUUCACAGAUUCAUCCCUCAGUUUAGAAUAGUCGUUACUCCCCUCACGGAGUCACGGGCUCAGUGGCUCACACGGAUUUCCAGCGUUAACCCAGCUCACCUCACGUCGCCGUCUUUCUCACUUCUCAUUUCAGGGUUCUCUAUUUUCUGGUGGAAAUCUGCAAUAUAUAUUUCGGUAAGCACCUUGUAGAUUAUGAUGUAUAUAUGGGAAACUUGUAGAUUGUUGGCAGUAUAUUUCCUUUUGGUAUCGAUCGAUUCUGAUGUAUAUAUUGGCUUGUUGGCAGUAUAUUUUUUUUCCCAUAUAUCUCACAGUUUGGAGCGUGGGAAUAAGGUAGUCAGUAUCUAUGGUUGAGAACUUGAGAGCAGUUGUGAUGUUUGACAAAAUUAACAUCCUUUUAGACUUGUAUUCGACCCUCAACUCAAACUACCAGUCUUGCAUAAACCAUGUGAGUGGUAGAUACGGUUGACUUGUUGCUAAGAAAAAUUAAAUACUGACGAAAAAACUUCUCUUCAGUAUCAAUACUUACUUUUCAUUUUCUACCUUCUAUCAUGCUUUGUGGGACUUCUGUUUCUUCAUAAUUUAUGAGCAUGCAUUUUGUUUUUUGUUUUUUUUGGCUUCUAUUUCAUCAAUGUCCUCUUUAGUAGAUAAUAUACUCAUGGAUUUAAUUUUAAAAAGAUUUUUCAAAUUCUUGCUGAUUUUUAUUUCUGCUACCAUUAUUUUGUUCAUGGAUUAAUUUUGAAAAAGUUUUCAAAAUUCUAGCUUUUGAUUGUUUAUUGCAUCUAGUUUCUUCCAGAAGCCUGUCAACCACAGUAGAGUAGUAUUUCAUUACCAAAAGCAUUCUGUUUGUAAUUGUAGGAAAUUAUCUCACCGCUUUUGGCUUUGAGCUCAAUGAACAAAGAAAGCUUGUAAAGAGUUUGAAAAAGAAAUCUCUUUGGUCUAGAAAUUUUGAAGAGGUAUAUAUCUAUGAACAUGUCAUUAUCUGAAGAGAUACUCGGAUACUGAGCAUGGUGUCUAAAUAAUUAGUCUUACCCUCCACAGAACAGAGUAGAAUUAUUAUUUCUCUCAGUGAAGUUACUUAUUCUUCUGUUUCAAAGUAUUCUGCUCAUUGCAGAUUGUGAAGAAGCUUUUGGAUUUUAGCACUUGUAUACAUAAAGCUAUACGGGAAGCUUUUGGAAAUAAUGAUGAGUUCGGCAGCAGGUGAAAAUGAUGAUUUGAUUGAUUUGGACCUAUUUGAGUCAGAAAGUUUUCAAAAUGAGGAAUCUAAAACAAAACAAAGGAAACGGUCAAACGUGUGGACUUUUUUUGAAAUGGUUCCUGAGUCUAAGAACAAUGAUGGCAAGCCACGAGCAAAGUGCAAGAUGUGUGGAGUUACUUACAUGGCUGCGAAUAAAUAUGGAACCGGAAAUAUGAAGCAUCACAUUGAUGCAUGCCCUAGGAGAAGUUCACGAGAUAUUGGUCAGAUGAUGUUAUCACAAGGUAGUGGAUCUAUUUCGGUAAGCACUACUAAAUUUGAAACUGAACAAUAUAGAGAACUUUUGAUAGCUGCUAUUGUGAAGUAUGAACUGCCUUUCCGUUUUGUUGAAUACUCAAGGGUGAGAUCUUUGUUACAAUAUUUGCAUCCGGAUGUUUCAAUUAUUUCUAGGAAUACUGCCAAAGUUGAUUUGGUUAAGAUAUAUAAUUGAGAAAAGAAAAGGAUUAAAUGCAUGUUAAAUGAUUCUCCUGGUAGUAUUAGUCUAACAUCUAACUUGUGGACUUCUAUAACCACUGAUGGUUAUAUGUGCAUUACAGAACAUUUUUUGGAUAAGAAUUGGGUUCUGCAAAAAAGGGUUUUGAACUUUUCUUUUAUGCCACCACCACAUAAUGGCAUAUUUUUGUCUAAAAAAAUUUAUAAUUUGCUAUGUGAGUGAGGAAUUCAACACAAGAUUUUUGUAUUGACUUUAGACAAUGCUUCAUCUAAUGAUGUUUCAGUGGAGUUGUUAAGAACUCAAUUGAACAUUAAAAAAGCUCUUCUUUGUGAUGGUGAGUUCUUUCAUCUUCGUUGUUGCGCUCAUAUUCUGAAUUUGAUAGUACAAGAUGGGUUAAAAGAGAUUGAUUCUACUAUCCAAAAAGUUCAUGAGAGUAUCAAGUAUGUCAAAUGGUCACAAUCAAGGUAGGUAAAAUUUUUAGAUUCUACAAAACAAAUGUCUUUGGAUAGCAAAAAAGGGUUGAGAUAAGAUGUUCCCACUAGAUGGAAUUCUACUUUUCUUAUACUUGAGAGUGCUAUUUUCUAUCGUCGUGCUUUCAGUCAUUUGGAGUUGAUUGAUUCUAAUUUUAAGCAUUGUCCAUCAAUAUUUGAUUGGGAAAAAAUAGAGAAGAUCAACAGUUUGUUGGGAGUUUUUUAUGAAGCCACUUGUGAUUUUUCUGGGACCAAAUACCCUACAGCCAAUCUAUACUUUCCAACAGUGUUUUUGAUUUAUUUUACAUUAAAGCGACACUCUGAGGGUGAAAAUGACUACAUGAAGACCAUGUGUUGUAAAAUGCUUGCUAAGUUUGAGAAAUAUUGGUCUGAGUUCAAUGUAUUGUUGGCUAUAGCAGUUAUUUUGGAUCCUUGAUACAAGUUUCAUUUUGUUGAUUUUUCUUAUACAAAGCUUUAUGGGGAUUGUUCCAUUGAGUAUAUGAAUGUUUGGAGUAAAAUUUCAUCUCUUUUCAUGGAAUAUAGUUCUUCUAGUGCUCCCACAUGUUCUACCACGACUUUUGAUAGCACUUAUAGUAGAGCAAAAAGUCAAUUUUCGAUUAAUAAACAAGUAUUUCAGGUAAUAACUGUAUAAUAUUUUUUGUUUAAUGAUUUAUAUUAUAUUGUUGUUCUAUGAUUUAUAAUAUUUUAUUUUUGUGUACAGGAAUUUGAUUCAUUUAGACAUGAUGACCUUACUGCCCAUAUGCAAAAAAGUCAAUUGAAUCUUUACUUGGAUGAACUUAGGGUAGACAGAAAUGCAAAGAUUGACAUUAUUUCCUUUUGAAAAGGAAAUGAAUUUCGUUCUCCUGAUCUUGCUUGUAUGGCUCGUGAUAUUUUGAGUAUUCCAGUUUCUACAGUAGCAUUUGAAUCUACUUUUAGUAUUGGUGGGUGUAUCAUUGAUCAGUUUAGGAGUGCACUACAAGCAGAUAUUGUUGAAGUAUUAGUCUACACUAGAGAUUGGCUAUAUGACGAGGAGCAAGGUAAUAUUAUUUUUACCUUAUUGAAUAAAUAAUUGUAAUUUUUCAAUACAAUAAUAUUAUUUGAUAUAAAAUUUUACUAAUAUCUUUUUUUUAAUAGAAACACAAGAAGUUAAAUUGGACAAGUUAACCGAAAAUGUAAUAGAGUUGGAGAAAAAUAAGGGCAGGGAGGUUGCUCCACCUCAUUCUUGAAGCUCUAAAUUUGUUUAGAUCUGUGUUUUUAUUGUAUUUGGGAUUGUAAAAUUAAUAUAUUUUCUGUGUGUUUUGUUUAUUAUUUUGGGAUGUAAUAUUAAUAUAUUAGUACAAUGUGUGUGGAAUGAAUCAUAUUUGUUUAGAUUAUAAUUCUAAACUUGUGGUUAA